rnacentral:tRNA from 1 species
AGUGGAGUGGAGCAGUUCGGUAGCUCGCUGGGGUCAUAAUCCAGAGGUCGGCGGUUCGAAUCCGUCCUCCGCCA